UUGCUUUGGUAGCAUAUAUCAAAAAAAAAAAGGAACAAUACAGAGAAGAUUAGCAUGGACCUGAGAAAGAAUGAAAUGCAAAUAUGUGAAGCAUUCCACUUUUUA
rnacentral:snRNA from 1 species